CCUACAGGCUAUAGUUAAGCUUUUAUCUAUUCUGCAAAAUGGCGUUAGAUUUUUAUCAAUUCUGUAAUAAUUAUACAUAAACAUUAAAACUUAAGUAAAUGUAUGGGACUGGUUAUUGAUUAGAAGUAAUAAUAUACAGAAGGUUCAGUUUACUUUCCUCUAAUUUUAUUAUUUUAUAAUAGACUUAUUAACUAAUUUUCAGAAUUUUUUUUUCUGUAUACCUACAAAUUUAAACUUGAUGCAGUUUUAAAUUUGAUAUAUUGUCUUGAUUAUUUUUUCUGUAUGUUUGGUGGUAAAACCGCAACCAAUUUUUGAUUCUUAAAUUUCAUAUCCUAUACUAUGUCAUAUAUUAUAUAAAUUCCAUUACAACGU